GUUUUGUAUGAAAGGAGAGGUUAGCACUCCCCUCGACCAGGAUGGAAGAGGCCCUCGGGCCUGACAACACGUAUACGGUUAAGACAUUGCCACCUACUUCGUGGCAUCUAACCACUGUUUUUG
rnacentral:ncRNA from 1 species